UAAGGAUCAUUAAUGAGUAUUGAACUGGGUUGUAGCUGGUCUUAUCAGACAUGUGCUUGCCCUUUUCAAAUCCACUUUACACCUGUGCACUCUUUGUGGGCUUUGGUUUUGGGUGGAUCCUGUUUUUUUAUAACUUGAUUCUUCAGGCCAAUGUCCAUGUUUUAUUACAAACCCUUUGUAAGAUUUUAGAAUGUGCAUUGCGAAAUAUAACGCAUCUUUAUACAACUUUCAGCAACGGAUCUCUUGGCUCUCGCAUCGAUGAAGAACGCAGCGAAAUGCGAUAAGUAAUGUGAAUUGCAGAAUUCAGUGAAUCAUCGAAUCUUUGAACGCACCUUGCGCUCCUUGGUAUUCUGAGGAGCACACCUGUUUGAGUGUCGUGAAAUACUCAACCUACAAACCUUUGUGUUUUGUUAGGCUUGGACUUUGGAGGUUUGUUGGCAGUCUGUCUGUCAACUCUUCUUAAAUUCAUUAGCUUGGUUCCUUGUGGAUCGACUCUCGGUAUCAUAAUUGUCUGUGCCGUGACCGUGAAGCAUUUGGCAGGCUUCUAACUCUCCCUUAUGGGGAGACUUAUUUGACAUCUGGCCUCAAAUCAGGUGGGAUUACCCGCUGAACUUAA
rnacentral:rRNA from 1 species